CCGGCCAGUCUCUACAGGACCACUGUAUGAUCUGAUCUUUCCCCAUGCUGAUUUAGCCCAGUGUAUGGAUGGCAGAAUAAGCCGAUAGCUGCUCCUUUGGCACCCAUACUAAACUAUAAUCUCAAACAUGUAGAGGGGUAUUUAUAAUCCGAACCCUACAGGUGUUGAAAAGCUGCUUCUAACAACAACCUACAAAUAUUGACCUACAACUCAUCUCUCAGCAUCCUCUGACAGCACUACCGCCCCCUGUGGGGCCUGUUUGCCACGCCUCCCUCAUACAGGUCACAUGGGGCACAUUGUUAACCCAACUACAAACCAUCCAUCCCCCAAGUUUUUUUUUUAAUUUAUUGACUGUUUGGCAGCCCGAUAAGAAGCUCCUUGUACUUUAAAUCCAUCCUCCUCCAUUUCCCCUAUGAACAGUCACUACCAGCUAAUCGCCUUCAGCCCACAUCAUCAUUCCCACUAAAAAAAUAAAAUACAUAUUCGCGCAAGCCGUAUUCCCCGCCUCCCAACAUACGUCUUAUUUCCCAUAGGUUGUUCCUUACUAGCCUUCAGAAUGGAGAACGCAGAUUGGCUGCUUUCUCCUGCCCUUCACAAAGUCUAGCUCUGACUGGCUUCCGUAGCAGAGAGUGAGUAAGAGGCGGAUGGCUGGGACUGAUGGUUUCCAUGGCGGAAGCAGGUUAGGACAUGGAUGACUUCCUGAACUGGAGGCGUCGAAUUCGUGAAAUCCGCGAGGUGCGCGCUGUACGUUACCAAGAGAGGGCCAAGCACAUUGCUGUUGACGGGGAUACUCUCAGGUGACCACAGCCCCUGAGCAGGGAAGAUGAAUUUGCCCCCAGUAGCUCCUCAUGUUCUUUUCUGCUGAUUCACUGCACAAGAUCUGGGCUGCUGUCACCUGAGCGUAGGAACCAACAUCUUCUUUAUGAUAUUUGAUGACCACUAAGCAUGUGCAGUAUCACUGACACUUAAAAGAUGGCAUAACAAGAUUCAAGGUGGCCACCUCCCAUGGAAACUUUAAAGGCCUGGAUCAUUAUGGUUGUAGGGCUGUUGAUCCUCUACACUAGUAUACACUUUAAGCAGUCUGAACAGUGUUCUGUUUAAGUUUUACCAUUUCUGAUGCAAGUUGCAAGCAGGGAUUGGCAAUUCAGAAGAAUACUUCAUACAGUGGAAUAGAAAUUAUAAAAAGUUAAACGACUGGUAACUAAGUAGCACAAAAGCAAUGGGAAUUACUGGACACACUCUGUGGAUGAGAAAUGGAACUUUACCUGCUUUUCCAUUGCAAGCUGCUUCCUUUGGGUGAUGGUUCUUCCUUUGCCUCAGUGAAUCUUCCUCCUUCUCCUCCACUAGGGCCAUCUUGCCCUCUUGAUGAACAAAGGAGUCCUCGCUCCCCCUCCUAACACGUUACCAGUAAUUCUUCUUCUCCUCCUCUGACUCCUUCCCCGCAAGGUUUCAGGUCAGCUUGUUUCUCCCUAUCAGCUGAAGUGGCUGAUUUAACCUUUGGAAUUUAAAGUGAACUUUAAUCUAAAUUCCCCAAAUUAUCUGAUUGCAAUAAAAAAAUACAGAUGUUUCAA